CAUUGCAACCCAACAGAACCCAUUGGUUUUCUGUAGAAUGAGGUGAUGUUGAUCAGUCUCAGGGGAGUUCGUCAUGUCCCCUUUCUAAUUCCCACUUUCUUUGGUGGAAUAUACAAUUACGAUUAACAGUAGCCUUCACACUCAUAUAUUACGCAUUCUUCCCAAAAUCAUGGGGCUGACUAUACAAGAUGAUGCUCACAAGUGAAAAACCCAUGUUGGGACUAGUCCAUGGAUUUAAAAAAUCGUAAUCAGGUCAGCAGAAUAGGCUGGUUCCUGUCGAAUUGUACAUGGGUUUCUAGGGUUCCAGAACAGAAUCGUAUUGGAAUUCGCUGGACCUGAUACAGAUCCUGAUUCCUCGACAAUUCACAAUUUUGAACCCGAAAGAAGAUAGAUAGCUGGGGAGAAGAAGAAGAUAGCAAGGGGUUUCGUUCGAAUGGCUCAGCAGAGGAUUCACAGAGGGUUUUGUUCGAAUCGAUAAGCAGAGGAUUCGCAGAGGAGGGUUUUGUUCGAGUCGUUCGAAAUGAGGAUUCACAGAGCAGGGAUUCGAAUGGAUGAGCAAGGGGUUCGUAGAGGAAGGGUUUCGUUGAACUGGCUUAGCAGAGGAUCCGGAUGGAGAAGAAGAAGAUAGCAAGAGAUAGGGUUUUUUUCGUCGUUCGAAAUGAAGAUGGAAGUUUAUAGGGUAGGAAAUAAGAUGGAACAGCGAUCCUUAAAUCAAGGAAGCUUGUUGGCUUACUUGGCAUUCCACUCCAAAGUCCCUGCGGAAAGCACUUCUUAUCUCUAGACGGAUAAGGCUGAGUGUUGUUGGUGUCUGUAAAACGGUGUUGCAGCGGCAAUUUGGAGAAAGAACUGGUCUUCUUCCAGUUGUCCUCCUUACAUAAGGACCAGCUCUCUCUUCUCAUCUGACAAUGGUGUAAGUUUGAUCCUCCUGGCCUGAAACAGUUCUGACCCACCUUAAGUUCGAAUAGGAUUUGGGUUAGUAUCUCUCAUCCUGGGGGCGGGUUAAGAUUGAAAAACAUUGAUCCCGGGUUAGGGUUGAGUUAUGCUUGGGUUGAGGCCUAGUCCCUACCAAAUCCGAUCCAAUUCAGUCAUAAUUUUAACCAUGAUUUAUGUAGUAUAAUUGAGGUUAUCACCUUAUCUUUUUUAUUUUGAAUAAUGGAAUUUGGGUGAUUGAUUCUUAUGGUUAGAUGUCUUCAACUUC